rnacentral:rRNA from 1 species
AGUGAACGCUGGCGGUAGGCCUAACACAUGCAAGUCGAACGGCAGCACAGUAAGAGCUUGCUCUUACGGGUGGCGAGUGGCGGACGGGUGAGGAAUACAUCGGAAUCUACUUUUUCGUGGGGGAUAACGUAGGGAAACUUACGCUAAUACCGCAUACGACCUACGGGUGAAAGCAGGGGAUCUUCGGACCUUGCGCGAUUGAAUGAGCCGAUGUCGGAUUAGCUAGUUGGCGGGGUAAAGGCCCACCAAGGCGACGAUCCGUAGCUGGUCUGAGAGGAUGAUCAGCCACACUGGAACUGAGACACGGUCCAGACUCCUACGGGAGGCAGCAGUGGGGAAUAUUGGACAAUGGGCGCAAGCCUGAUCCAGCCAUACCGCGUGGGUGAAGAAGGCCUUCGGGUUGUAAAGCCCUUUUGUUGGGUAAGAAGAGCAGCAGGUUAAUACCCCGCUGUUCUGACGGUACCCAAAGAAUAAGCACCGGCUAACUUCGUG